AUCGCUUCUCGGCCUUUUGGCUAAGAUCAAGUGUAGUUGUAUAUGCUAUUAUGAUUACUGUGCCUUCUCUGAGAAAUUACCCUGCAAAGACAAUAAGGUCAUUUGAUCUCUUAUCAUUGAAUUCUUCUGAAGUACAUUCAGUUUGGAAUUAUUGCUG
rnacentral:snRNA from 1 species